AUUGAACGCUGGCGGCAGGCCUAACACAUGCAAGUCGAGCGGAUGAAGGGAGCUUGCUCCUGGAUUCAGCGGCGGACGGGUGAGUAAUGCCUAGGAAUCUGCCUGGUAGUGGGGGAUAACGUCCGGAAACGGGCGCUAAUACCACAUAGGUCCUGAGGGAGAAAGUGGGGGAUCUUCGGACCUCACCCUAUCAGAUGACCCUAGUUCGGAUUAGCUAGUUGGUGGGGUAAAGGCCUACCAAGGCGACGAUCCGUAACUGGUCUGAGAGGAUGAUCAGUCACACUGGAACUGAGACACGGUCCAGACUCCUACGGGAGGCAGCAGUGGGGAAUAUUGGACAAUGGGCGAAAGCCUGAUCCAGCCAUGCCGCGUGUGUGAAGAAGGUCUUCGGAUUGUAAAGCACUUUAAGUUGGGAGGAAGGGCAGUAAGUUAAUACCUUGCUGUUUUGACGUUACCAACAGAAUAAGCACCGGCUAACUUCGUG
rnacentral:rRNA from 1 species